GCUUACAGCUAUAUCAACCUGAGCUUGCUUGAUCUUGUCUCAUCUCAGAAGCUAAGCGGGAUUGGGCCUGGUUAGUACUUGAAUAGAAGACCACUUGGGAAUACCAGGGGCUUAAAGUU
ensembl:rRNA 5S_rRNA 5S ribosomal RNA